AUUGAACGCUGGCGGAAUGCUUUACACAUGCAAGUCGAACGGCAGCACGGGGGCAACCCUGGUGGCGAGUGGCGAACGGGUGAGUAAUACAUCGGAACGUGCCCAGUCGUGGGGGAUAACGUAGCGAAAGCUACGCUAAUACCGCAUACGAUCUCUGGAUGAAAGCGGGGGACCGCAAGGCCUCGCGCGAUUGGAGCGGCCGAUGGCAGAUUAGGUAGUUGGUGGGGUAAAGGCUCACCAAGCCGACGAUCUGUAGCUGGUCUGAGAGGACGACCAGCCACACUGGGACUGAGACACGGCCCAGACUCCUACGGGAGGCAGCAGUGGGGAAUUUUGGACAAUGGGCGCAAGCCUGAUCCAGCCAUUCCGCGUGCAGGAUGAAGGCCCUCGGGUUGUAAACUGCUUUUGUACGGAACGAAACGGCGCUUUCUAAUACAAGGCGCUAAUGACGGUACCGUAAGAAUAAGCACCGGCUAACUACGUGCCAGCCGCCGCGGUAACAC
rnacentral:rRNA from 1 species